rnacentral:rRNA from 1 species
AGUGAACGCUGGCGGUAGGCCUAACACAUGCAAGUCGAACGGCAGCACAGUAAGAGCUUGCUCUUACGGGUGGCGAGUGGCGGACGGGUGAGGAAUACAUCGUAAUCUACUUUUUCGUGGGGGAUAACGUAGGGAAACUUACGCUAAUACCGCAUACGACCUACGGGUGAAAGCAGGGGAUCUUCGGACCUUGCGCGAUUGAAUGAGCCGAUGUCGGAUUAGCUAGUUGGCGGGGUAAAGGCCCACCAAGGCGACGAUCCGUAGCUGGUCUGAGAGGAGGAUAAGCCACAUUGGAAGUGAGACAGGGACAAGACGCCUAAGGGAGGGAGCAGUGGGGAAUAGUGGACAAUGGGGGCAAGUAUGGUACAGCCAUACCGCGUGGGUGAAGAAGGCGUCGGGGUUGGAAAGACCGUUUGUUGGGAAAGAAAAGCAGCAGGUUAAGACCCAGCUGUUCUGACGGUAACCAAAGAAUAAGCACCGGCUAACUUCGUG